AUUGAACGCUGGCGGCAGGCCUAACACAUGCAAGUCGAGCGGAUGAAGGGAGCUUGCUCCUGGAUUCAGCGGCGGACGGGUGAGUAAUGCCUAGGAAUCUGCCUGGUAGUGGGGGAUAACGUCCGGAAACGGGCGCUAAUACCGCAUACGUCCUGAGGGAGAAAGUGGGGGAUCUUCGGACCUCACGCUAUCAGAUGAGCCUAGGUCGGAUUAGCUAGUUGGUGGGGUAAAGGCCUACCAAGGCGACGAUCCGUAACUGGUCUGAGAGGAUGAUCAGUCACACUGGAACUGAGACACGGUCCAGACUCCUACGGGAGGCAGCAGUAGGGAAUAUUGGACAAUGGGCGAAAGCCUGAUCCAGCCACGCCGCGUGUGUGAAGAAGGUCUUCGGAUUGUAAAGCACUUUAAGUUGGGAGGAAGGGCAGUAAGUUAAUACCUUGCUGUUUUGACGUUACCAACAGAAUAAGCACCGGCUAACUUCGUG
rnacentral:rRNA from 1 species